GUCAAGCACCCCUAAGUACCGGUAGUUAGGUUGUCCCAGCACAUAAUGGGUAAAAAUUCCCCGGGCAGGCCAGAAGGACAAAACAAAAAAAAAAGACACCUAACCCUCAACAACAGGUUUUGCAUUAUCCCAGUCCCGCAGAGACAAAGGAAGCAGUUGGAAGAAAAGGAACUCCCUCGGGUGCAGAAGACAUAUUGCAAAUUCAGAAAUAGCUGGGAAGGACUGAGGAACGUUUACAGCCUGGAAGGUGCCAUUUGAAUUAGCUCUGUGGUGUGCAUAAUUUAUUGGACACAAAUACAGUGAAAGGUUGACAAAUGCUC